rnacentral:rRNA from 1 species
CAACCCACAUCCCUAGUUGCCAGCAGUUCGGCUGGGCACUCUAUGGAAACUGCCCGUGAUAAGCGGGAGGAAGGUGUGGAUGACGUCAAGUCCUCAUGGCCCUUACGGGUUGGGCUACACACGUGCUACAAUGGCAACUACAGUGGGUUAAUCCCCAAAAGUUGUCUCAGUUCGGAUUGGGGUCUGCAACUCGACCCCAUGAAGUCGGAAUCGCUAGUAAUCGCGUAACAGCAUGACGCGGUGAAUACGUUCCCGGGCCUUGCACACACCGCCCGU